AUCGCCUAGCAUGUGGAAGGCCCUGGGUCCGAAAAGAAAAAAAGGAAAGAAAGAAAAGAAAAAGGGAGGGAGGCGAAAAGGGAGAGAAGAACAAAGACGGAGGGUGUUAAACUCCAGCUCCACCCCUGCCUUUUGUGGAGUCAAUUCUCUCGUGUCAAUCAAAGCAAGCUCAGUAACCAGAACAGAGGCGCCACCCGCUUCCUCCCUCCCAUGACCCAUUUGUCCUAAUCUCCGUGUUUCUCCCUGAUUGCCAGGAGGUGAGCACUAGACUUCACUGCUCCCUCCACUGAGCAGACUGUGACCAGGAAUCUGCAGUUACUUCCCUCCAGAGCUGCCAGGGCUUUGGCUCCAUGGGUGGUCCUGGGUCCUAACGCAGGCUGACCACUCUAUGUUGGUAGACAAUUCCAAGACCCUUCACUUGAACAGCUUAGAUUUUCCGCUGCGUCAGUUGAGGUCUGUCGGGGAGCAGACGACUCAGCAAACCAGAGUGUUCCAGAAUUAUGGCGUGAAGGGGUGUUGUGACCAGGCUGUCCCUCGCCAGAAAUUACCCCACAUUGUAUAAAACCGUGUUUUCCAGAACAUGUCUUGUCCUGAGAGACUCUGUGUCACAAGCAGCUUUGGACUCCCUUUUGAGGAUGAAGGACGACUGUUGGCCUUGGUGGACAUGUGUAAGGCACCGUCUGUCCAGUGUCACCCACACAACACAGACUGACAAAUUACUUCUUCCUGGGAAGAGAAAGGGUGUCAGUCACCUUGUAGUCCCGUCAGGAAACCCAGGACAGUAAAGGUUAUCAGACACACUAGGCAAGGGGAGGGUGCGACUCCCGCAUCUGGACCCUAAUGCCUGAUGGCAGUGGUCUCACCAACCUGUCAUCUGGACGCCCCGUGUGUGUGUGUGUGUGUGUGUGUGUGUGUGUGUGUGUGUGUGUGUGUGUGUGUAGGCAGAGAACUCCUCACUGUCCCUGGGACCUCAGCUCAGUUCUGUCUCCACUGUCGAACGGCUGUCUGUCCAUCCUCCCAUUCACACAUCUGGACCAUCCAUCCACCCAGUCAUCCACUGGACUUGGCCACGCCCUUGGUCUCUGUGGCCUUCGGUGCACCUUGCUCCUGUGGCUCGACCCUGCCCUUGCAGCCUGACUGUGUGCAGCCAAUAGCCAGAGCGGCCUCUCCACUCACUCGGUGAGGUGUGUCAGCUUAUCCCAGAGUCUUCCCUGCCUCUCUGGGCUCCCUCAUCUUUAACCCUUGGUAGCUCUUCUGUAAUCUCCAUAUGGACACAGUAGGCAGGUAGGCUUACUGUGCGAUGUGUAAUGUAUAAUCCAAGAGUUAAUAUUAGUGAUGAUUGAAACGUGAGAACAGUGUUUCCCCUGGCCACCUUGUGAAUUUUUUUUUCUUCCCAGUAAAUUCUAACAUUGUGGGAAGACACAGACAGAUCAUCUAUGUUCCUGACGUGGUGAGCUCGUGACAAGAGGUCAAGAUGAUCUGAAGGGGGUGUGGGAAAUGACCACCUUGGGCUAAGGACCGCAGGAAGCCACCACUCCCCCCUCUGGUCUGAUGGGACAAGACAUGACAAGUUCGGCUCCUUCCCUGGACAGGUGACAUGGACAGGUGUAACAUCUGGAAACACCUCCAGGCAAAACAUCUGGAAGGAGGAAUUAACACCUCCCCCCAACUUCUCCUCAUGUGGAGCAGAAUUUGGAGGGAAGGGAGGAAGGGGGCUAUAAAUAACUGAGCAAAUGAGUUAAAGACAUGAGCCUGCCCGGCCAGCAGUCACUCAAACAGUUAAGGCAAUUUCCUUCAGCUGGCCUUUCCCUAAGGUCAAAUUUGUUUAUGGAUAAUUCCAGAAUCCCUCCCAAAGACACCCACUAAAGCCUCUCCGCCCUCAGAGCGCUGCCUGUCCUCUUUCUCAUUCUAGAAGGCAUCUGAGUCUGGGGCAGUGGACUUGCUCAGAGUCUCUCUUCCCAGCCUCCAGCAGGUACGACUGCGGAAGGGGCUGGGCAGGGCCCAGGUAGCCCGGAUCUACUGCGCAGGUAUCUAGGACCUUAGGGCCCCCGUCCUACAGGGAAAACAGCAGCAAUUUUCCAGAACAGGGCACAAGUGACCCUGCUGUGGGUGACGUUAGGGCCUGUGUGUCACAAACAGUCAAAAGGAAAAAUCAAAACCCCUCACUAAAGAACACAAAUGCCCCGAUCCCUCAGCAACCUGCACCCUAAAUGUUCACUCCCAGAGCUAAUGAGAGCCCCUCAGACCUGAGGAAGGCAUGCUGUCUGAUGGGAGGGGUGUGUCACCACUGUAAACACCAGUGACUCUGGAAAAGCUACUUCAGAGUUUGGCCCCACUGAGCUACGGAUACUUCUAGACAAAAGAAAUUAAUUAACUUGUCAAGUCCUUCCUCCCAGCAUAAAUGCAAUCAGUUCUUGCCCCACAAACCUCAUUUCCUGGGGGACAGACACCUGUCUCUUCCCUCUUCCUUACAUUCCCAUCCCUGGGCCCAAGGCUUCUGCAGCAGCUGUGCAGGGAAGGGGACGUGCCCACACAUGUGUGCAUGCACACGUGUGUGUGUGUGUGUGUGUGUGUGUGUGUGUGUGUGUGUGUGUGUGUGUGCAGGCUGCAGCUUCACACGUGGGAAGCUAAGACUGACCCUCAGCCCUUCAAGAUGGAUACUGAAUUCUGGAGUUUCAAACGGCUUUCUGUUCAGGAGAGCAUUUAACAAGAUGUAUUCACUCCCUCGGAAAUGUAAAUUAAAUCCAAAGCCUUAUUUAAAUCA